GGCACGUGCGCGUAUGUUCCUCUCUACGCUCCUGCUGAAUUCCAUAGGGCCUCACCCUGACGUGCAGUGCAAUCCGUACAUGCUAUGAGAAGUACGCUGACAUGAAAGCUAAGGAUCCUGAUGACUAUGCGGAUCACGUGAUGACGUGUGUCUCUGAUAACCUAUCGAUGCAGCUUACCAAGCGGAAGGAAAAAGCUGGCGGAGAGGGAUUCGAGUGGGUGGACAACUACCAAGGUGCUAUAGUCACAGUGGAG